GGCAGACCCGCUGAGGCCGCCUUGCUCUCAGGCCCGGCGGCCAAGCCCGCAAGCGCAGCUGCCUCUACGGAAGUGCCUCCCGCGACAGGCACCGGGCCGCCCGAGGGCAGGGCUCGGCCGGAGUCGCGGCCGCGGAGCCCGCAGGAGGUGGGGGGGCUCGCCACGCUCCACUCAGCCGCCAGCCGGACCCCUGUCCGCCUGCUUUCGGGCUGUGUCCGGGUGCGCCGAGGGACAGGCUCCGCGCCGGGGUAGAAGUCCUUUCUGCUGCCGGUGAAGUUUGGCGGCGGCCGCCGGGCUUCGCGACACUCCCGUGGGCCGGGCGAGGCGGGGGAGGCGGAGGCGCGCCAGGAAUGUGCAGAGCGAGCGGGAGCGCCUUCUGGCUUUCUCGCCGCCGGCCGACUUCGCUCCGCUUCCCCUCCGCUGCUGCCCUGGGUGGAGCUUCACACUCGCUCCGAGGUGAAUCAGGCGCCGGGAGCGCCGGGGGUGGGGACAAGCCAGCCGAGCGCCGGCCAGCCCCACAGCCUCUGAGCGCGGCGGCGGCGGCGGCGGCAGCGGCAGCGGCAGCAGCAGCAGCAGCAGCAGCGAAACCCGCCACCUGUCCAGCAGGAGCAGCCGCCGGCCGGCCCCGAGAGCCCGGGAAGAGGCUUCUGCUGUCAUGGCUCGCCGGUCACAGAGCUCCUCCCAAGGGGACAACCCUCUGGAUCCCAACUACCUGCCGCCCCACUACAAGGAGUACUACCGCCUGGCGCUGGACUUGCUGGCAGAGGAAGGCAAGGAGAGCUACCACCGGUUCCUGGCGGAGGAGGCGGCCCCGGACUUCCUCUGCCCCUCAGAAGUUGAGCACAUCACUCAGCACCUGCAGAAGCCACAGUGUGUCUCUCAGGAGGGAGGUGGCAGCACGGACUCCGGCCCGCUGGAUGCAGACAUGGACGGUUCCUCAGGCACUUACUGGCCAGUGAACUCUGACCUGGCCGUUCCAGAGCUGGAUCUUGGCUGGCCAAUGGUCUUUGGGUUCCGGGGAACAGAGGUGACUACUUUGGUGCAGCCCCCACCCCCGGAUAACCCCAGCAUCAAGGAAGAGGCACGCCGAAUGAUUCGGGCUGCACAACAGGUGGUCGCUAUAGUUAUGGAUAUUUUCACCGAUGUGGACCUCUUGAGUGAGGUACUGGAUGCGGCUGCACGCAGAGUUCCCGUGUAUAUCCUGCUCGAUGAGAUGCACGCCCAGCUUUUCCUGGACAUGGCUGCCAAAUGCAGAGUGAACCUCAACUUUGUGGAAUUCCUACGCGUCCGGACAGUUUCUGGCCCCACCUACUAUUGCCGCACGGGGAUGUCGUUCAAGGGUCACCUGAAGGAGAAAUUCUUGCUGGUGGACUGCAUGGUGGUGCUGAGUGGCAGCUACAGCUUCAUGUGGUCCUUUGAGAAGAUCCACCGGAGCAUCGCUCAUAUCUUCCAGGGUGAGCUUGUGGCCAGUUUCGACGAGGAAUUCCGCAUUCUCUUCGCCCAGUCAGACCCGCUGGUUCCUCCGUCCAACAUUUUAGUGAGGGCAGAGGCUCCGGUGGGGCCCUACAGCAUGGCCACCCUUGGCAACAACAUGCCCUUCUUUCCAAAGAAGCCUCACCUGCUUUUCCCCCGAGAGGACAACCUUUUCUCACCGUUUAUGGACCGGAUCGACCCAGACAGGUAUUUCCUGUCUUCUUUUAGAAGAGACGACAUGCUGCGUCACACCUUAGAGGGUUCCACCAUGCGAAUGUACUCCAAGAAAAUGGAGAUGGAGAACUGUCAGGCGGACCCUAUGCGGGGCUACCUCCGUUCCAAGCAGCUGGAAAUGGACUCAUUUAAAAGGCACAGCUUCGCUGAAGGCACCUUUGAGAAUUUUCAGUCCACAAAACAAUUUUCUAAGCAGUUGUACAUGAACAAUUUGGACGAAUUUAAAAUUCAGUCCAGUCACUUUCAAAAGGAUCAGUUUUAUCAAUACCAGUUUGAACAUCCCCAUGGGGCUAACAGGCCCCAGGGGCUUUUUGAAAGAAUCCGAGGAGGCAGGCUAGGAUUCAAUGAACCAGAAGAUUAUGCAGAUGGAUUUAGGUGUCCAGAACUGGAAUCCAAUUUCCCCCAAGAAGGGCAUCCACUGCGGCUGGAUUAUGUGCCUUCCAAUUCUUCCAAAGAAGUGCGGCACGGCUCGGAUCACCUGAAUCCGGGAGGGAACGGUCUCCUCGGUCUCCCGUCCCUAAGAAGGCAAAACAUGGGGCAGAAGUUUAUGUGCCAGACCUCUCCCACGCAGAAGCAGAGCAUGGAGCAGAGGCUUUUUCUGCACGACCAGGGCCAAGAUGUGGAGCAAGACAAGAAGGUUCAGGAGAACAGGGCAGGGCUGCGCAACUGGAGAAUUUCCUCCUACCUUAGUGGGUAUCAGUCCGACCCAGGAGAGGAAGGCCUUCCGAUGCCCAUGGAGCCGGAGAUGCACAACGAGGUCCUUGGUCCCCCAGAACCCCUUCCUAGGUACCCCAGCGACCUCCUCCCCACUUUCAAACCUCCCCUUCCACUUCCCAAUGCCAAAGACAUUUCUGGAAGUGACAGGUUGCCCGAAGAAGCCUCGGUGGUGAAACAGGAUCCCUUCCGAAGCAGGAUAAAUCCCUUGAUCCAGAGGAGUUCGCGGCUUAGAUCUUCUCUUAUUUUUAGUGCUGCCAAAUUAGACCAGCCAAACUCAUCCACCGAGAAAGUCCAGAUGGUGCAAAAAGAGCAGACCUCCACCGAAACAAUCAAGGAUGCUGAAACCGUAAAAGCCAGCACUGUCUCUAAAGUGGCCGAGCUGUUGGAAAAGUACAAGUCGGUGGGGAAAGACUCACAAAGCACCACCCUCAGUCACACCAAAGCUAUGUCUGCGUUUCUCCAGAAAGAAUCCCAGAAUGCAGAAAGAAAGUGCACUAAGUCGGUGCAGUACAAGAUUCUGGAAAGCCAGGUGCUCGACUCCAAAGACUCCUUCAGCCCUUAUAAGCUACACCCAGAGUCGGAGGAACAAUUUGCAGGGCCUGCCUCAGCGACCGACUUGCUUAGCCCUAUGGUCCACGGGAGCAGUAAAACGGACAAGCUCGCCUCUCGCUUCUACCCAAUAGACCAGUCCAGUCUUCCAGAGAAGGAGAGCCUAAUGUUUGUGGGAGAAACUCAGAAACUUGCCAUAGCGGACAGGAAGGAAAACGUGUCUUUCAAAGGAGGAGAUGGAUUUGAAACUGAAGAACACAAGCCAGCACAAGCCCCAGUCAGCACCAUCUCCUCCAAGAACCAGGGCUCCGACAGCGCUCUCAGUAAGCCCGAUGAAGAAAGUUGCAAGCAGGAACAGAGUCCAAGAGAGUUUUUUAGGAAGGGAUCUCUCAAGUUAAAACAGUUGUUGAAUCCCAAAGCUGAGAAAAAAGCAGACGAAGAAACAGGCCUGGAGAGCUGGAGGCCAGAUAAGUUGGGUGCAGGAGCCCUCAAGCGGAUGUCCAGGAGCGAUUCUCAGGAGAUUACAGAAGAGGAGAAAUCUCCCAAACCGGCCGCACCGGUGCCUGUCCUCAGGGCGAACCCAGCGCCUCAAUCUCGACUGCUGCCCUCCUCCACGGCCAACGUCCUCUACAGCAGCAACCUCCGAGACGACACGAAGGUCAUUCUGGAGCAAAUUUCGGCCAACAGCCAGAAGAACCGGGCAGAGCUGGCCAGGCAGCUUCCAGCGGCCAGCAAUCCUGAGCUGUCCAGGUCUGCCACAAGUUUGGACCGCAAAGGGGAUGAGAGGAACACUGGGAUCAGCAGAUCGGAAAGCUUUGGGAGCCAUAAGCGGGGCCUGCAGAGGGAGCCUUCAGAGGACCGGGAUUCUCUCCUGAAGAGGAUGGAGAGCAUGAGGAAGGAGAAGCGAGUCUACAGCCGCUUUGAGGUUUUCUGCAAGAAGGAGGAGCAAGGCGAGGAGGAAUGUGAGACAGACGCCAAGGACAAGAAGAUGGGGAAGUUCAUGCCAAAACUCUUGGGAUCCUUCAAAACCAAAAAAUGACAUUGAGGAGGCUGCUGGGACGGCCCUGCCUGAGACCAAGGUUCGUGGCAGGCCUUCCAUUUCCAAGCCCAUUCUAGCAUCAGGACAGCUGGGCUGAGGCUGGGGGAGAGGGGAAGAGGCGGGGGGGCACCAAGCAGGAUUAAAUGGCCCUGGGGGGAACUCAAAGGCCAGCAUCCCACUAGACUUUCUUUGGAAGGGCUGGAGAUUAGUCCCACACCUAGGAAUUCCCUCCAGGCAGGGGAGAAAAACACACCAAUAUGAACAAAGAGGGGACAGUUGGCAACAGAGCUGCUUUAUGUGCGUGUUCCAUUUAAGACUCCCAUUCUUAGGCACCCAGCUCAGGGCAACCAUCCCGGACCACUGCCUCGGAUCUUUUGUCCCUGUAGCAGCCUUUCCUUCGGGGCCCACCAUUUCACUGGACAUUUUCUUUGCGGGGACAGUCCAUUUGGGGGUGGGGGAGAGGCUGGUCUAAGGAAUCCACAAGGGAAGGUGCAGUCAACACAGAAAAACAUAGAGGUCAUCUGGUCCAACUCAUUAGAACAGUGCUUCCCAAACCUGGGUAAAUUAUCCCAAAUUGGGUAAAAGUGGGGUUUUGGGGGGGUAACGACACCUGACCCCAUUACCCGAUCACAACAGUCUUUUAAAUGGACUUAAAGUGAUUUUUCCUACAUUGGGUAAAAAGGACUUUCUGAUAGGUGGUUUUGGGUAAUGAAGGAAAAGGUUUGGGAAGCAUAUCCAGCUCUCCCCCAUCCCUCUUAGAGCUCUGGCAGCCUUUUGAAUGAUGCAGGCCAGGGUGGGAUACAGGCCUCCAAGUGCGGAGGGUGCAGUGGGAGGUUUACUUCUUGGGAUUUGGACUUCUGUGUUGCUGUAAAGGCGCCCAACGUAGCAUUUGUCUGUUUAGCAGCUGCUCUUGUGUGGUUAAUGAGAACACCCAGAUCCCCUUCACAUGUACUACUAUCAAGUCAUGCUUACCCCAUCCUAGAGUAGUGCCUUACAUGUUUCCCACUGAGAUGCAGAACUUAACUAUUCUCCCAUUCUAAAUUCUUCGUUUCAGCUCAGUAUUCAAGCUGCUCUAGACCUUUUCAAAUCUUCUCUCUUGUCAGGUACUCUCAAGUUUUCUACCCACACAAUUCCCUCCUCCAAGCCCUGUGCCUCGACACCACCACCCCACUGGGGUGUUAGGGCUGAAUGAAACAACUGUAAGGUGCAUUCACCAUUGGCUGAGUAAUUGUGCCCAAAAAGUGCUUUCUAAUGGCUGCUCUUCAGUUUGGAAGGAGGUCUUGAGUGAAGAGUGUCUAGAAACACUCUUAAGAAUUUGUUGAGAUAUUAAUUCAUGAUGUCUGUAAGAUUCCCCUUGUCUACUAAGCUAGUAAGUCUAUCCAGGGUAAUAGUCUGGGAUAAUUUCUUUGUGACACCCUCCUGCUGGCUCUUUCUUAACUGUUGUAUUUCUUUCUCAAAUGCUCACAAAUAAUCUGUUAGAAGACAAUGCCCAGAAGAGGUCAAAUGGACAGGCCAGUAGUUCCUCAGGUCCUUCUCCUUCCCCUUUUGAAGGUGGGAUUUAAUAAUAGAAUAACAGAGUUGGAAGAGACUUUGAGAGUCCAACCCCCUUCUCAAACAGGAGAACCUAUACCAUUCUAGACAAAUGGUUAUCCAAUCUCUUUUUAAAAACCUCCAGUGAUGGAGCACGCAUAACUUCCAGAGACAAUCUGUUCCACUGAGUAACUGCUAUCACUGACAGAACAUUUCUCCUUAAUAUUUGAUCUUCUCCAGUCCUCUGCAACCUCAUCGGUCCUCCAAGUCUUCUGCACUUAUCCUUACACCCAAGAAUGUAAUCCAUGUGGCUCUGGAGCAUUCAAAAUAACCUAAUUUCUCUCUUGUCCUCAUCUGUUGGGGUUAGGGUUAGGUAACCAAAACCACUUGUGGGUAAGCCCAAGUGGAUAUUGUUGAUUACCUAUUAUUACAAGAAUCCUGCCAGACUGUCUUCACUUGGGAAAUCAAUUUCCCAAACUGAUUCUACACUGGAUUGUCUCUCUAUUCCCUGAGAAAGAGGGCUGAACAGUCUCCUU